UACAGAGGGGGCAAGCGUUGUUCGGAAUUACUGGGCGUAAGGGCGCGUAGGCGGCCCGCUAAGUCGAACGUGAAAUCCCCGAGCUCAACUCGGGAACUGCGUCCGGAUACUGGCGGGCUUGAAUCCGGGAGAGGGAUGCGGAAUUCCAGGUGUAGCGGUGAAAUGCGUAGAUAUCUGGAGGAACACCGGUGGCGAAGGCGGCAUCCUGGACCGGCAUUGACGCUGAGGCGCGAAAGCUAGGGGAGCAACGGG
rnacentral:rRNA from 1 species